rnacentral:rRNA from 1 species
GUCCACGCCGUAAACUAUGGAUGCUAGCUGUUAUGCGUAUCGACCCGCGUAGUAGCGAAGCUAACGCGUUAAGCAUCCCGCCUGUGGAGUACGGUCGCAAGACUAAAACAUAAAGGAAUUGACGGGGACCCGCACAAGCGGUGGAGCGUGUUGUUUAAUUCGUCGAUACGCGAAGAACCUUACCCAGGCUUGACAUCCUUGGAAGUUUUGCGAAAGCAGAAUGUGCCUUUUGGAGCCAAGUGACAGGUGUUGCAUGGCCGUCGU